AUUGAACGCUGGCGGCAUGCCUUACACAUGCAAGUCGAACGGCAGCACGGGAGCAAUCCUGGUGGCGAGUGGCGAACGGGUGAGUAAUAUAUCGGAACGUGCCCAGUCGUGGGGGAUAACGUAGCGAAAGCUACGCUAAUACCGCAUACGAUCUAUGGAUGAAAGCGGGGGAUCGCAAGACCUCGCGCGAUUGGAGCGGCCGAUAUCAGAUUAGUAGUUGGUGAGGUAAAGGCUCACCAAGCGACGAUCUGUAGCUGGUCUGAGAGGACGACCAGCCACACUGGGACUGAGACACGGCCCAGACUCCUACGGGAGGCAGCAGUGGGGAAUUUUGGACAAUAGGCGCAAGCCUGAUCCAGCAAUGCCGCGUGCAGGAUGAAGGCCUCGGUU
rnacentral:rRNA from 1 species